rnacentral:rRNA from 1 species
AUUGAACGCUGGCGGCAGGCCUAACACAUGCAAGUCGAGCGGCAGCGGGAAAGUAGCUUGCUACUUUUGCCGGCGAGCGGCGGACGGGUGAGUAAUGCCUGGGAAAUUGCCCAGUCGAGGGGGAUAACAGUUGGAAACGGCUGCUAAUACCGCAUACGCCCUACGGGGGAAAGCAGGGGCUCGUCGGACUUUGCGGGGUUGGAUAUGACCAGGGGGGAUUAGCUAGUUGGUGAGGUAAUGGCUCACCAAGGGGACGAUCCCUAGCUGGUCUGAGAGGAUGAUCAGCCACACUGGAACUGAGACACGGUCCAGACUCCGACGGGAGGCAGCAGUGGGGAAUAUUGCACAAUGGGGGAAACCCUGAUGCAGCCAUGCCGCGUGUGUGAAGAAGGCCUUCGGGUUGUAAAGCACUUUCAGCGAGGAGGAAAGGUUGGCGCCUAAUACGUGUCAGCUGUGACGUUACUCGCAGAAGAAGCACCGGCUAACUCCGUGCCAGCAGCCGCCGUAA